GAUUUGAUCAUUUUAGGGUGUGUCUCGAAGUUGAUGCGUUUAUUAAAGAUGCGUUCCGCGACUUCUCACGAUGAGUAAAUUAUUUUAAACAUCCCAUUUAUGCGUGGUUGUUAUGUUGUUCAUACCUUCACAAUCUAAGUAGAAUGGUAUUUUACCUUAGUUUGCCAUGAAAUUCCAAAGCGAGAGAUUUCGCGUGCCGCCAUUUUGCUACGUAGGCAAAAAGCGUACUCACCGUGAAUUUCCUUAUGGCUUGUUCACAUUGCAACGUGCGUAAUCGCGGUUGGGAUUGUGUUCUUGGGGUUGUAAUCAUCCUUCCUCCAAACACAGCGAGUGGAAUUUAGACCAAAAAGCUAGAUUUUUGUCUCAUCAGACCACAUGGCCUCUGGAUCAUCCAGAUGGUCAUUGGCAAACUUCAGACUGGCCUGGACAUGCGCUGGCUUUAACAGGGGGACCUUGCGUGUGCCGCUGUAUAGUUCUGGGCUGAUCCCUCACCUUCCUCAUGAUCAUUGAUGCCCCACGAGGUGAGAUCUUGCAUGGAGCCCCAGACCGAGGGAGAUUGACCGUCAUCUUGAACUUCUUCCAUUUUCUAAUAAUUGCGCCAACAGUUAUUGCCUUCUCACUAAGCUGCUUGCCUUCUGUCCUGUAGCCCAUCCCAGCCUUGAGUAGGUCUACAAUUUUAUCCCUGAUGUCCUUACACAGCUCUCUGGUCUUGGCCAUUGUGGAGAGGUGGGGGUCUGUUUGAUUGAGUGUGUGGACAGGUGUUUUUUAUACAGGUUCAAACAGGUGCAGUUAAUACAGGUAAUGAGUGGAGAACUGGAGGGCUUCUUAACAGGUGUGUGAGAGCCGGAAUUCUUACUGGUUGAUUCCGUCUCUCACAGUUGAAGUGUACCUAUGAUAUACAUUACAGACCUCUACAUAAUUUGUAAGUAGGAAAACCUGCAAAAUUGGCAGUGUAUGAAAUACUUGUUCUCCCCACUGUAUGUACUACAAAGCCUAAUAGAAUUCCUGAAGUUCAGUUAUGGAUUUUGGUUUUAGUGUGCCAACCUAAGAUUUUUAGUGGCGCCAUCUAGCCACCCCUACGAAACAUUUCUGGGGUCUCCGCACCGAGCCACUACUCUCUGCUGGUUUGAUUACCGUUAUGCAGGAAACAUUAGAUUUGGCUGCAACAACAGGACUUCCGGUAUU
ensembl:lncRNA